rnacentral:rRNA from 2 species
AAUGGACGAAAGUCUGAUGGAGCAAUGCCGCGUGAGUGAAGAAGGGUUUCGGCUCGUAAAACUCUGUUGUUAAAGAAGAACACCUUUGAGAGUAACUGUUCAAGGGUUGACGGUAUUUAACCAGAAAGCCACGGCUAACUACGUGCCAGCAGCCGCGGUAAUACGUAGGUGGCAAGCGUUGUCCGGAUUUAUUGGGCGUAAAGCGAGCGCAGGCGGUUUUUUAAGUCUGAUGUGAAAGCCUUCGGCUUAACCGGAGAAGUGCAUCGGAAACUGGGAGACUUGAGUGCAGAAGAGGACAGUGGAACUCCAUGUGUAGCGGUGGAAUGCGUAGAUAUAUGGAAGAACACCAGUGGCGAAUGCGGCUGUCUAGUCUGUAACUGACGCUGAGGCUCGAAAGCAUGGGUAGCGAACAGGAUUAGAUACCCUGGUAGUCCAUGCCGUAAACGAUGAGUGCUAAGUGUUGGAGGGUUUCCGCCCUUUCAGUGCUGCAGCUAACGCAUUACGCACUCCGCCUGGCGAGUACGACCGUCAAAGGCUGAAACUCAAAGGAAUUGACGGGCGCCCGCACAAGCGCUGGAGCAUGUAGGUUUAAUUCGCAGCUACGACGCAUGAACCCUGUACUAGAUCUUCGACAUCUUACUG